GAUGAACGCUGGCGGCGUGCUUAACACAUGCAAGUCGAACGGAAAGGCUCCUGCUUGCAGGGGUACUCGAGUGGCGAACGGGUGAGUAACACGUGGGUGAUCUGCCCUGCACUUCGGGAUAAGCCUGGGAAACUGGGUCUAAUACCGGAUAGGACCACAUUUUGGAUGGUGUGGUGGAAAGUUUUUCGGUGUGGGAUGAGCUCGCGGCCUAUCAGCUUGUUGGUGGGGUAAUGGCCUACCAAGGCGUCGACGGGUAGCCGGCCUGAGAGGGUGUACGGCCACAUUGGGACUGAGAUACGGCCCAGACUCCUACGGGAGGCAGCAGUGGGGAAUAUUGCACAAUGGGCGCAAGCCUGAUGCAGCGACGCCGCGUGGGGGAUGACGGCCUUCGGGUUGUGAACUCCUUUCGCUAGGGACGAAGCGUUUUUGUGACGGUACCUGGAGAAGAAGCACCGGCUAACUACGUG
rnacentral:rRNA from 1 species